rnacentral:lncRNA from 1 species
GGCCAGGGGAGUUGUGUGACCUGUUCUUCUGUACCAGCUGUGGGCAUCACUAUCAUGGGGCCUGCCUGGACACUGCUCUGACUGCCCGCAAACGUGCUGGCUGGCAGUGCCCUGAAUGCAAAGUGUGCCAAGCCUGCAGGAAACCUGGGAAUGACUCUAAGAUGUUGGUUUGUGAGACGUGUGACAAAGGAUACCAUACUUUCUGCCUAAAACCACCCAUGGAGGAACUGCCUGCUCACUCUUGGAAGUGCAAGGUGAGUGUACCCUGAU